ACAGCGGCGUCACCGAUCUACCACAAGUACGUCGCGGCGCCCGCGGUCGUCGUCUCCGUCGACUACCGUCUCGCGCUCGAGGACCACCUCCCGGCCACGUGCAACAACACCUUCACAGCCCUCAAGGCGGUCGUUGACGCCUGCCGCCCAGACGACGCCGAGCCCUGGCUUGCCGCGCAUGGCGACGCCUCCCGCAUCGUCCUCGCCGGUGACGGCGCCGGCGCCAACAUGGCGCACAACACGGCGAUAAGGCUGCGGAAGGAAGGCAUCGGGGGCUACGGCGACAAGGUCAGCGGCGUGGCGCUCUUGCAUUCCUACUUCUGGGGGACUGAACCGGUGGGCGGCGAGUUCUCGGACACCGCCUUCUACUACCCCGGUGACAUGGAGCGCGUGUGGGAUGUGGCCUGCAGCGGCGAGUUCGGCCGUGAUCACCCGUACAUCAACCCGGCAGUGUCGCCACAGGAGUGGUGCCAGCUCGGGUCCGGUCGCGUGCUGGUCACCAUGGUGGAGUUGUGCUGGUUUGUGGAGAGGGCGCGCGUGUACGCGGAGGGGAUAAAGGCGUGUGGGUGGGCCGGUGAGCUCGAGUUCUACGAGACCGGCAAGAAGCACACCUACUUCCUGUUCCGUCCCGACUGCAAUGAUGCCGCCAAGGAGCUCGCCGUCGUGGCCGACUUCGUCAGGCACUGCUGA
rnacentral:rRNA from 1 species